CAGAGAAAGUUUUCAGCUUGACGGUACCUUACCAGAAAGGGAUGGCUAAAUACGUGCCAGCAGCCGCGGUAAUACGUAUGUCCCGAGCGUUAUCCGGAUUUAUUGGGCGUAAAGCGAGCGCAGACGGUUUAUUAAGUCUGAUGUGAAAUCCCGAGGCCCAACCUCGGAACUGCAUUGGAAACUGAUUUACUUGAGUGCGAUAGAGGCAAGUGGAACUCCAUGUGUAGCGGUGAAAUGCGUAGAUAUGUGGAAGAACACCAGUGGCGAAAGCGGCUUGCUAGAUCGUAACUGACGUUGAGGCUCGAAAGUAUGGGUAGCAAACGGGAUUAGAUACCCCGGUAGUCCAUACCGUAAACGAUGGGUGCUAGUUGUUAAGAGGUUUCCGCCUCCUAGUGACGUAGCAAACGCAUUAAGCACCCCGCCUGAGGAGUACGGCCGCAAGGCUAAAACUUAAAGGAAUUGACGGGGACCCGCACAAGCGGUGGAGCAUGUGGUUUAAUUCGAAGAUACGCGAAAAACCUUACCAGGUCUUGACAUACCAAUGAUCGCUUUUGUAAUGAAAGCUUUUCUUCGGAACAUUGGAUACAGGUGGUGCAUGGUCGUCGUCAGCUCGUGUCGUGAGAUGUUGGGUUAAGUCCCGCAACGAGCGCAACCCUUGUUAUUAGUUGCCAGCAUUUAGUUGGGCACUCUAAUGAGACUGCCGGUGAUAAACCGGAGGAAGGUGGGGACGACGUCAGAUCAUCAUGCCCCUUAUGACCUGGGCAACACACGUGCUACAAUGGGAAGUACAACGAGUCGCAAACUGGCGACGGUAAGCUAAUCUCUUAAAACUUCUCUCAGUUCGGACUGGAGUCUGCAACUCGACUCCACGAAGGCGGAAUCGCUAGUAAUCGCGAAUCAGCAUGUCGCGGUGAAUACGUUCCCGGGUCUUGUACACACCGCCCGUCAAAUCAUGGGAGUCGGAAGUACCCAAAGUCGCUUGGCUAACUUUUAGAGGCCGGUGCCUAAGGUAAAAUCGAUGACUGGGAUUAAGUCGUAACAAGGUAGCCGUAGGAGAACCUGCGGCUGGAUCACCUCCUUUCUAAGGA
rnacentral:rRNA from 1 species